rnacentral:sRNA from 1 species
AGAGAGAGAGAGAGAGAGAGCAGGUCUUUCAGGUUGGGGCUGAGGCAUCUGUGUGUGUGACUUUCCCCUCAAGCAUUCCAGUUCUCUGAGUGUGGGACACACCCUAUAAAAUCAGUGUCAUUUAGGUGUGAGCUCUACCUUGAUAGGAAUCUGCUGUAGUCAGUAUUCCCAUGAAUACGACUCCCCCUUCUCUGCGUUUCUGCAUCUUUGAAAUCUUUCUCCAUGUAGAGCAUUCAGCAUGCGGAUGUCUGUCUUGGGUAGUGUUUCCAACAGCUGGAGGAGUAAAUCGUUUGUUUCGGCUUGCUCUUUCAGUAACAGCUCAUCACCAAGGGAAGUGAGGGCAGGAGCUCAAGGCAGGACCUGGAGACAAGAGCAGAAUAGAGGGCCUGGAGGACCGGUGCUUACUGCUUUUUUACACAUCUCAGGAUUGCCUGCCCAGGGAUGACACCACUCUCAAUGGGCUGGGCCCUCCCACAUCAAUCGCUCACUAAGAAAAUGCACCAUAGGUUUGCCCAAAGGCCAAUCUGGUGGGGACAUUGUCUCAGUUAAGGUUCCCAUAUGAUUCUAGUUUGUGUCAAGUUGACAUAAACCUAGCCAGCACAAUAGCACCUUUAUACUUUUUGCUAUUAUGGCCACAAUUGUCACAUGUCAGAUGCUCUGAGGAGUACAGGCUUUGGUAAGCAGGCUAAGGAGAGACAGGUAGCAUGGAGGAAAGAAAAUGUAUCACAGAAGGAAAACCAAAGCUGAAAUUCGGUUCAAAACAUACUUUUUUUUUUCUUAUUUCCAAUUUGCUGAGACUUCGUGGGCUCUGAGGACUCUGGAAAACCUCUGAAUGCUGGGAAUGUCAUGGAGAGACAAGGGAUCACCCCUGUCUCCUUUCCCCCUAUCUCCCUCUGAGGAAUCCGGAGCGUCAUGGUGGACCCAUCCAUGAGGAAUUAGAAGGAAAGGAAACUUGGCACAGAACAAGACAGACAAGCACGUCAACCUGGGGCAGAGGCAGCAGCUCUUCUGGGGUAGGAAGCAUUCCCUAACAGACAAGAGGCUGGCAGGCGUGCACACCAUGAGCUCAGAAAAGGACUGGGCCCCCUGGGUGGAAAGUCUGAGAUAAUUGUGGAAUCGUCUUUACAAUUUGGAGGAUCCAGUUGAAUUGAGAAUGGAGAAGAAACUGAGAAAACGAAGGUCCAGUGACCUGCCCAACUUGGGAUCCAUCUCAAGGGGAGGCUCCAAGGCCUGAGCACUGUUACUGAUGCUAGAGUGUGCAUGCAUGAGCCUAGCACGACAGUCCUCCGAGAGGUCCAACAAGCAGCUGAUUGAGACAGAUGCAGAUACUUAUACCCAACCAAUGGGCUGAAGCCAGGAACCCCUGUGGCUGAAUUAGGGAAAGGCUGGAGAUAACUCUGAUCUAUUGUUUCCCCCAGCACAUUGCCUGGUCCAGGGUAGAUCAUUACUAUUCAUUUUGACUGACCUGAUAGGAUCAACCAAAGUUGGGACAAUCCGUAAGGGAGUUUGGAGGUUGGGUUCAUUGAGGUGGAAAGACUUACCCUAAUUUUGGGUGGUACUAUUCCAUGGGCUGGGGUCCUGUACUGAAUCAAAAGGAGAAGAAACCUAGCCAACUACCUAGAACUAGUGAGAUCCUAAAUCCUAAGAGAAUUUACUGCUGCCAUGUUGCUGACCCAGGAUAAUUUGUUAGCUGUGUUCUAAUCUUAUCUUUAUACCUGCAGAUAAGUGUAGCUCCCCAUCAAAGAAGCUUCUCUCUAUAGCGAAUGGAAACCAUCACAGAAAACCACAACUGGACAGAAGGCAGAGUUCAGUGGGUCGUGGAGCGCUCCAUCCCAGUUAAUGUAUCAGUAGCACAGCUCCCGCCUCAAUGACUUGGGGAAUAUUGGGGCAAAAAGGGCAGAAAGAUUUAAGAGCCUGAAUACCAGGAAGUCUGCCGAGAGACUUCCUCUCUCAGAAACAGCUGCACAAACAAGACCUGCGCAAUGACAAGAUCAAUUGACAUGCUAAGGUGAAAGGAGAAAACUCGCCUGAGGGAGCCCACCCUAGCUAAGGAACUACAGGUAGCUAAUGGCCUCUCCUAGAACAUAAGCUCCCUGUUGGGUUACAUAACAUUAAAGGGUCAGUCCUGAAAUCAUAUACACACAAACAACAAAAGCAGACCCACUAGGUUGUAUUAUAUGAGAAUAGAUACACAUGGAUAUAUGACGAUAAUAAUGAGAGAAAGAAUGGGUAUCAACUUGAGAAGGGGUAGCAGGGGGGUUGAUGGGAAGGAAUAAUUUAAAAUUUAAUUUAAAAAGGAGAGAGUGAGCUAAGCAUGAGCAUCCUUCUGUCACUGCUUCCUGACUGUGGAUACAACUGACAGACAGAUGGAUGGAUGGAUGGGUGGACAUGACCGACGGACUGAAUGCCUCACACAAACUCCCAUCUCUUCCCUGCUGAUCUGAAUUGUAGCCCUUGAACUACAUGCUAAGCCAAACCUUUUCUUCCUUGGCUAAGCUUAUUUAAUCAGGGGUCUGAAUACCGAAAGAAGAAAGGUAAAUGAGACAUUGCUCUAAAAACCAUUUUUAACUGAAGGAAGAAAUGAAAGGAUAAACCAUUAAAUUAAAGCCUGACUAAAAAUAUGGAGAAAGGAGAAAAUCAUGGUCUGCAUAUUUGUAACACAGAAGCACAGAAGACUCUGAAUAGUUAAGGCUGUCCUUAGAAGGACAUCAUAUCACAAUAUCCUCAAACUAUAUUACAGAGUCAUAGUAACAAAAGCAGCAUGGUACGACCACAAAAACCAAACGUGUAUAGAAUAGAGGACCCAGAAAUAAACCCACCUAAUUUUUUCAUAAACCUGUCAAAAAUAUACACUGGGGAGAAAACUGCCUUUUUAAUAAAUGGUGUUGGGAAAACUGGAUUUCGUGUAAAAGAAUGAAAUUAGAAUGCCUCCUAUUUGGCACAAAAAAUAUUCAAUUAAAAAUGGAUCCCAGUCAUUAACAUAAAACUUGAUCCUUUGAAACUGUUAUAGGAAAGCAUGGGGGAAAUGCUACAAGGGAGAGGCUGUGCAAUGACAUAUUGAAAAGGACACCCAAAAGCUCAGAAUACCCAAGAUACAAUUCACAGACCACAUGAAGCUCA